ensembl:lncRNA
GCAAAAGAGCAACAAAGUAAAUAAAAACAAUAUGGGGAUGAUGUAGGUAGAUUGGGUGGGCAAUUUACAGAUGGACUAUGUACAGCAGCAGCGAUCGGUUAGCUGCUCAGAUAGCUGAUGCUUAAAUUUAGUGAGGGAAAUGUAAGUCUCCAGCUUCAGCGAUUUUUGCAAGUCGUUCCAGUCACUGGCAGCAGAGAACUGGAAGGAAAGGCAGCCAAAGGAAGUGUCGGCUUUGGGGACAACCAGUGAGAUAUACCUGCUGGAGCGCUUCCUACGGGUGGGUGUUGUUAUCGUGACCAGUGAACUGAGAUAAGGCGGAGCUUUACCUAGCAUAGACUUAUAGAUGACCUGGAGCCAGUGGGUUUGGCGACGAAUAUGUAGCGAGGGCUAGCCGACGAGAGCAUACAGGUCGCAGUGGUGGGUGGUAUAUGGGGCUUUGGUGACAAAACGGAUGGCACUGUAAUAGACUGCAUCCAGUUUGCUGAGUAGAGUAUUGGUAGCUAUUUUGUAAAUGACAUCGCCGAAGUCGAGGAUCGUUCGGAAAGUCAGUUUUACGAGGAUCUGUGACAAAUACAUUUUGAUUUGAUUUGACUGUUAAUGUGAUACAAUUUCUCAGCCUAGAUGUUGCUGUUUGGCUAGUGGUCAGUUAGUGGCCCUAUUUUGGUGGUUUGGUUGGAGUACUGAUGUUUUAUGGGCAUCAUUGUAAUACAGUUAGAAGAUGAUGACUGAAGAAGAGACUACUUUCCUGUGAUGUCAUCAUGACAGCUGUCAAAGAAGUGACUGUUUGGCCUGAUUUCAGAACUAUGUUUUUCAUACGCCAUCAUCUGUGGCAAAUCUUUAAUGCACCACCCAAUGCUCUUAAUUAUAUAGCCUCAAAAAAAUAUUUUGAUGUUACUCUAUCUGUUGAUGUUACAGGACUCACAUGAGAGGAUCAUGUCCAGACAAGACCAAGAGGAAAAACUCACUAUUACAGACUGGUACAGUAUGUGUGUGACUCUCCAGCAGCAGGAGCUGAGGCUGUCUGAGGGCUCUUACAGGCCUCCAGGCCAAGCCCAGUCCUUCCUGGCCCAGCAGAGGCAGUCCACCCAGGCCAGGAGCAGGAGAGGCAUGGGGCUCUCUCCCAAGCUACAGCCCAGAUAGGAGGGGAGAUGGAGGGAGAGGUCCCUCUGUUGAGGGUGGUGGGAUUGACACUGGAUGGACAAGGAACGUUGGAAGAGGAUGUUGAUGGGAUUUUUGUGGCUGUUUAAAAAAAUCUUGGAUGUUAAAAAACAUAUUUUAUGUAACAUUGGCGCCACCUGCUGGUCAAAUGGUAUUGGUGUUCGUUUUUUGUCCAUCUCAGUUUGAAUCUAAAAGUUAAAGGAAUAGAUAGGACAAUAAAGGAACAUCACUAUUACAAUGUGUUGCCAAUGGAUUUUUGCGCUUGAAUAAAAUAUCAACAUGACUUACAGUAUAGCGCUCAUUUUCUCC